ACCCGGGAGAAACUUGGAGGGGGGGGGGGAAGGGGGAAAAAAAAGCUGUGAAGAACUUUUCGUGGCGGGGGGGGUGGGGAGAGCGGCGGCACCGAGCCGCGCGCGGCGCCGCCCCGCGCCGCACAAAGGCGGCCCCGGGGGGGGCGGCGGCCCCGGGGGGCGGCGGCCGGUGACGCAGCGGGCAGUGACAGCGGGAGCGGCCGGGACGGGGACGGGACCGGGACCGGGACGGGGCGGUGCCCCCCCAUCCCCCCCCCCGUCAGACCGUUAGGGCGGGAGCGGCGCGCGGCGCCUUCCCCCCCCUCCCCCCAGCACCGCGCGUCCCGCGCGGGGGGACGGUUCCCACGUGGGUGCGGGGCGCCCACCGACCCCACCCCCGGGAUGCCUCUUUCCCUCCUGCGUUUUUUUAUUAUUAAUAAUUUUUGUGGGGUUUUUUUGUUGCGUUGCGGGGCGCCGCGCCCGCCCCCCGCAGGUGUGGCGGGGGGGUGGUUUUCUCUUUUUUUUGUUUUUGGGGGGUUUUUUUCCCCAUUUCCCUCUUUUUUUUUUUUUUUUUUUAAAGAAAACCGGGGCUGCCCGCGGGCUGGGCCCCCACUUCGGUCUGGCCUGCGCGCCCCCGCGGCCACCCGCGCUCGCCCCCAGCUCCCGCUGCCAAAGGGGCGCACGUGAGAAAAUAGUUUUAUGCAUUUUUUUUUUUUAAAUUGCUAGUCUAAAAAAAAGUCGGCGGAAUAAUUUAAAAUAUUUUUAAAAAUUGGCACCCAGCUUUUGCCUUUUUGUUUUUUCCCCUUUCCCUCGCUGGUUCCUUGCUUUGUACAGGAAAUUUGAAUAUCCUGGCAAAGGGCGACUUCCAAGCGCCGCUUUGCUGGGCUGGGUGAGCCCCGGUGAUGGAGCAACGUGCGCCGCGCUGGCGGGGGUUUCCCUUUUUUAAUUUAUCCUCAGCGCAGCGUUUUUCCCACCCACAUGUGCAUCAGGUACAUAAAGACAAUUUUUGUGCGUUGAGAGAGGGAGUUUUCCAAAGUUAAAACGUUAAUUGCUUCCCCCCCCCAAAAAAAACCCAAAAACAAAACCGGUGCCUGUGUGUUGUGUACGUGUGUAGGUGAGGGACCAUCUGCCAGGUUUCAUCAUCUUCUGCUCUGAAGAAACCCAAAGAACUCCAUUGCUCACCAUCAGCUGCAAAAAUCUGUAUUUAGUUAAUCCACUUCGGUGGGAAAUACAGUAAAACUGAACUGCUAAUGCAAUAAACAUUUAUGAAAUAUAAGAGGGAAGCUUUAAGUAAUGCUUCAGGCAAACUGACCCGAAUAUUUAAAAAAAAAAAAAAAAAGAAAAAUUGCUGUGCGCUUGUUAUGUUUUGAAUUAAUGCUCAUCUGACAAAAAAAGAAGGGUUGUUUGUUUUUUUUUUCCUCUCUCUUCUUAACAAAUAAACUUUAUAGGAGUCGGGCUUCCAGAUCUGUCCCUUGUUGUUUAAAACUGGAUGAGAUGACAAUGCAAAAAAAAUGGAAGUAACAAGAAGCAUCAUACUUUUCUUCUCCUCAGCAGUGUUGAGAAAAAACUCUGGAUCCUGGAAUUUUACAGUGGAUUUUACUGGUUUUCUGGAGCACUGUAAGUUAAGUCUUAUCCCGCAGGCCUUUGCGAGCACCGGUAGCUCUCCCUCGUGUAAGAGCCCUGUCUUGAUAAACACAGUCGAUCCGCUAGUAACAGGCUCGGGGUCGAGUUUCUAAUCCAGUAAAGUUAACGAAUUAAUUUUUCGCAUUAUUUGAAUUUGCCCUUUGUAGCUGCGGUUUGGUUUCGGGUGUUCUGCCCCACCUAAGAGCACGAUAAUGUCACACGCUCUAACGCGCGAAAGGUACGCCGUGCUAAAAUGAAAAUGUAACUCUAAUAUGCUGUUAUUUAUAUGAAAAACGUGCUGCUUCUCUGACCUUUUUCUGGGUAAAUUAGUGAGAAAAAAAUUGUUUUUAAUGAAGCGUAUGAGAAAUUACCCACUCUCGUGUCGCUCUGACAUGUGAACAGGGAGAAAAUAUAUUUCAUGCGUUUGCUUUGUGGCACCCGGGAAGCGGUCUUAGCUGGCUGCAACGCGCGUAACAGCGGUUUUGGGGGGAUGCGCGCGCCGAGGGGAUGCGCGGCAGAAGCCCCUGCAAAUGAAAGUAACUCGGCUGCGUGCAGUUCCCACGUCUGGCUGUUCGUGCUCUCUAAUAGUCAUUUCUCUUCUCGCAGCCCUUGCUCGACUUCGGCAGCCUUGCGAGGCGAGUUGUAUCGGAAAUGUAAUAGCUAGAACCAUUUGGUGGUUGUCGAUCAAGCAUCGGGUCUGAUCGCAGCUAUUAGCCACAUCUUUCCUAUUGAAACAGUGAUUGCCUCAUGUCCAGGGAGAGUCAGCGCAGAAGGAGCCGAUGCGCCUGCGUUCAGAGGUGAGGUGGGAAGGUAAGCUCGUGUGUCCGACCUGCUGCGAAACACCUGCAGCGCCUGCAUCCCUCCGGAUAAAUGCAGGUUCCUCUGAAACGCGUGUCCCUUGGGCGCGGCAGGUCGCACCUCGGAGAGGGCAAGAUAAACUCAAAUCAUCCCGUUCAGCUGCCAUCUUUCCGAUUUAACAUUGAGGAUCCAAAGCACAGACUAGGCUUGAGAGAAGAUAAAGUGUGAGAUGGGAUGAUUCAAACGCAGAGCUUUCUAUUGCUUCGAAUAAUUAUCCUGUUAUGUCGUAAACACGCAUAUUUUCUCAGAUACGUAUUUCACUGCCUAUCCCAAAUUUCCACUUGCCCAAUGCUCGGUGUGAAUGUUGAUUUUUCUCUCUGUGCUAGAGAAUAGGCUGGUGGAGGUGUACUGAGCCCUCGCUUUGGAAAGUCCUCCUUGCUGAAGGGAGCUCUUGCCCCCUUUGUCGAGUUAGGCCAAAGACUGGUUUUUUAAACAUUAAUUAAAAUGGGAACCUCAAACACAAUCAAAACGGAUUCUAGAGCUGAGCUUGUUUGCUGUUGUCUUUUUUUUUUUCUGAGUUACUUGAAGAGAUGAAAGAAGUAAGACUACACAGGUACAGUCAAGUAAAACAUUGUUACAGAAAUAAAUAAUGGUAAAAUUACGUGGGGGGUUGUUUUGUUUUAGCUUGUGCAGGUUUAACUUUCUCUGGGUACUUGUUGGCUUUGCAGUAAGUAGUUGCUCGUUAGAGAGUUGGACCUGGUGCUGUCCGGUGUUGAGGGCGUUGAAGUGGUGAAAAAAUACUGCUUUUUUUUGUUGGCAAAUAUUUGAUUUAAAAUUUGCAGUAAUUUGGCACGGGUCACGAGAGCUUUUGAAAUUCCUAUUUUUAAGUGUGCUGAACAGGCAGUGACUAGGGGGAGGGCGACUGGAACGCAGCUAAGCGGCGUGUUUAGCGCAAGGGGACGGCACAAGCAUUUGAACUAAUGGCGUCAUUUCUGACAUUGUUCAGGGUUUUUUGUGAUGCUGCUUUUUAAGAAAAUGAAUUGAAGGAAGUUGUCACAUAACUGGGGGAGGAAAAAAAAAAAUCCAAAGGAAACACAAAAAAUGUCAGGCUAUCUGCACAGCCCCUGUACAGCCCUCGCAGGCUGGCCUGAACGUGCCGUGUGCUUCAGAGCUGCAGCCUCCUUUCUGCCCCGUGCUGGUCUUUUCUCUGGUACAGGCAGGGGAGGUGAUGAAGUUCCAGGGUAUCUUUAAUUCCUGGUGGCAUAAAGUUUGUCCAUUCAAAUAGUAAAUGAGCAUAAUCUAGUCUUUUAAGAAAAUAAGGGCGCUUUUAGAUUUCUCCAAAGCCGAGCUGAAUAAAAAUAUUUUAAGGAAAACUUAGCAGGUUUGAACUGUUGGAGUCUGGAUUUAUUUACCUGAAAUAUUAACACUGCAACUCCUGGAAAAUCCUUGAUGUUCAGCAGUCCCUAAGAGGAAGGUACAAGGUAAUAUUGCCCCAUGGACUGUUUGGAAGGGCCAGGGAGGUCUGCAGGCUCUUACAGUAGCAAAAGCAGUAGACCUGAAAGUGUAGAUUUACCAGGACCCAAAUAUUAAGUCUGCUUUGGGGGUGGGGGAAACAGUUAAUUUCUGAUUUUAUUUCUGAAACUGGUUUGUUUGCACUGUGUAACUGCUUGUUCUCUUAUAGUUACAGACUGUCUGAUAGCACCUGUGAAGAAAAAAAAGUGUCCCAUGGUGGUAAUGCAUGCAUGUUAAAUGUCUUCAUUGUAGAGUGUUCUUCAGUACUUUAUGUCAUGGUUUAAAAAAAAAAAUAUAUAUAUUCAAAAUACCAUUUGGAAUGUCAACAUUCAGUGGGCUUUGAGGAGAUGUAGCAGCACAUCAUGGUUUGUAGGGACAAGGAGAUACAGACCAUUCUGGGCUGCCUCAUUACCUCAAGGAUAAGACAAGAAAGUGAGCUUCUGGUUAUCAUAGAUGUGGAAGCUAACACAUUCCCAUGUAUCUCUUUAGUUCAGUUGAACAGGUAUGUGUAGAUAAGUUCUCUUGGUGCUUGUAUCUAUGCACAUCCUUUGCAGCUCCAAAUACAUUCCCUAUGAGUUUGUGUGUGUGUGUGUGUCUCGGCGGGGCUGGCCCUGCAGGCGGGAAGGACUUGCAGCUCCUUUUUGUUCUCUGGCAUGAGCAUGGCCCAUGGCCUGAGCACCAUGCCUUCAGCUGGCACCUUACCCGUCACCUAUGGCUCCUUGGUCCUUUCCUCAGCAAAGGAUCGGCCAAGGUACUCCCUGGCCCUGUGUUUGGGGGGAAAGGGGGGGUAUGGAGGCCACGAGAGGCGCUAGGAUGGAGAGCUGUCAGCAGUGCUCUAGCAGCACGUAAAUACUGGAGUUUGGGAUUGCCUGUUGCUCUCCAGUAUUGCAUUGCUGCUUUAGUGAGGCUGGAAAUCGGUCCCUGCCGCAGGAGCCGGGGCCCCGGCUCUUGGGGUGCCACCUCAGCACUCCCACAGUGCCUUCCAUACUGCUGCUCGGGGGUUCUCAUCUCCCACACCAAUAAACCACUGCGGAGGCAGCAA